UAAAAUAGACACUAGAAAGUUAGAGGUGUUCUCUUUGCUUCUAGGGUUUCAGAGGAAAUGGCUUCCAGAAGCACUGCCUCACUUGCUCUCUUCCUGGUCGUCAAUCUCCUCUUCUUCACCAUGGUUGCUAACGCCUGUAACACAUGCCCUCGACCAAAGCCGAAGCCGAGGCCGAGGCCGAGGCCAAGGCCAACCCCAAGCCCUGGUACCCCUUCCACCCCAAGCCCUGGUACCCCUUCCACCCCAAGCCCCGGUACCCCUUCCACCCCAGGUACCCCUUCCACCCCUUCUGGCACCGCCACUUGCCCCAGGGAUGCCCUAAAAUUGGGGAUUUGUGCUAAUGUCCUCAAUAACUUGCUUAACGUCACCAUUGGCACACCUCCAGUUCAACCUUGCUGCAC
rnacentral:lncRNA from 1 species